CCGAGGCUACCGCGGGAACUACAAUGCCCAAAAUGCGCCAAGAUCGGACGCGCCCAGAGUGGGCCAAAGAAGCGAAGGGGUCUCGGCCGCCAUGUUAGGAGUACCGGGAACAGUCCGUGGAGCCUGGCCGAGGUUUUAGGCAGCGCGCGAGCCGAAUGGUGGUGCGGUGGGCACGAGUCUGUCUACACUAUGAAAGAUGGAAAAUUUCUUCCUGAGGGUGUCUGAAGGGUUAAAAAUACGAUAUAUAUUUUGUGUUUUUCUCCACAGUUAUUCGGAAAACAAAAUUAUUAACUUGUUACUUUGGGUCAUUAAGGAUAUGCCUUUCGUCUCUCUGUUAGUAGUUAGUAAUAUUACAGCUGAUGGAUGUAUUCUCCUAUCCGGAGAAGCUAGGCAGAGUGAUUAAAAAUAAUAAAACAUGGUAGAAAUAGUCUUUCAGAUGUAUACAGAUGAUAACUACAAAAACUUUGAAGAAUCAUCUUCUGUCCUGUUUCUGGGAACAAGUCACAAGAUGAAAGGCUUUGUUUCAUUUUUAACAGAGGUAACGUGUUGGUCUCAUUUAUCUGUGCAGUACAACAAUG